GGAAAAGUUUCCAUUGGCAGGGUAAGACACUUGCUAUGUGUUAUGUUUUAACAUUUAGGUGUUCGAUUCACCUCUUUUCCG
rnacentral:tRNA from 1 species